GGGUUGCCCUAUUAUUCUUCCAUGGGAGAGUGAGCCUGUGCUAUUGGGUGCUGCCAUUCUUGGUGCUGUAGCUGCAAGGAAAUAUUUUAGUAUGCAUGAUGCCAUGAAGGCCCUGAAUGCUUCGGGGCAGGUCAUCCAUCCAUCCAAAGACCCUAAGGUGAAGAAGUACCAUGAUGCUAAGUACCGCAUUUUUGUGACCUUUAUGACCAGCAGCUAUCUCAUUGUUCGCUGAUGGCUGAAGCCUUGACAUAGGUUCUUGUGCCUCUUUGCAUCAGCAGGUGGCAGUAGGACAGUGGUUCUCUCACUCAAUAGAUUCAUUUAUGGGGCCAAUGUGCUUUCUAUAUCGGAAGAGAAAAUUCCUGGUGCUGUGAAGUUAUGUUGAAGAAAAUACACAUUUUUAUAUGUAAAGCCUCAACUUUUGCAACUCUUUGAAGGAAGUUUUUCAAAAGCCAAAACAAUGUACAGUAAAAGCAGUGCUAAAGAAAAUUGAGAAUUAGUACAGUUAAUAGUUUGAGGUUCAUCUGGUAAAAAAUUGUGUUCUGCCUUACUAUUGAUAAUAAUCUGUGUUACUAUUGAUAAUAAGCUUGAAUUAUUUGGAUUUUCUGCCACAUUCAUGAAACAAUUUUGAGGUUAAUUUUUAUUUU